rnacentral:rRNA from 1 species
UACAGAGGGGGCAAGCGUUGUUCGGAAUUACUGGGCGUAAAGGGCGCGUAGGCGGCCCUCUAAGUCGAACGUGAAAUCCCUGGGCUCAACCCAGGAACUGCGUCCGAGACUGGAGGGCUAGAAUCCGGGAGAGGGAUGUGGAAUUCCAGGUGUAGCGGUGAAAUGCGUAGAUAUCUGGAGGAACAUCGGUGGCGAAGGCGGCAUCCUGGACCGGUAUUGACGCUGAGGCGCGAAAGCGUGGGGAGCAAACAGG